AAAUAUUGCGCAACGCCCUUGCACCAUGUUGCGCAAAGUUUUUCUAUUUAAACAGAGCGACACAAAAUUUCAUAUAUCAAAUAAUUUAAAAUGGCAGAGGCCUGCAGGUUUGAGACCGCUUCAUCAUCCCCAAAUAUGGAUGUAGAACUCUGGAGAGUAAAAAAGCUUAUUCAAAGUUUGGACACUGCAAGAGGCAAUGGAACCAGCAUGAUAUCAUUGAUCAUCCCGCAGAAUGGCCAGUUGUCCAUUGUCAACAAAAUGUUGACAGAGGAGAUGGGAACAGCUGCCAGAAUCAAGAGCAGAGUGAACCGUCAGUCGGUCCAGAGUGCGAUAUCUUCAGUACAGCAGAGGCUGAAACUGUACAGAACAGUUCCAAAAAAUGGACUUGUGAUAUUUUGUGGAACAAUAAUUACCGAGGAAGGAAAGGAAAAAUUGAUAAACAUGGACUUUGAGGCGUACCGACCCAUCAACCGCUCUCUUUAUCAUUGUGACAACAAAUUCCAUACUGAGUUGUUAAGGGCGUGACUAACCGAUGACAACAAGUUUGGUUUUAUCAUCAUAGAUGGAAAAGGAGCCCUGUUUGCAACCCUCUGUGGUGAUCAUAAAGAAGUUCUUCAAAAAAUCUCUGUUGAACUUCCUCCUAAACAUGGCAGAGGAGGUCAAUCAGCUCAAAGGUUUGGACGAAUAAGAGAAGAAAAAAGACACAACUUCCUGAGGAAGGUUGCAGAGACAGCUGUGAAGGUGUUCAUUGAGAAUGACAAAAUCAACAUAUCUGGGUUAAUUCUGGCAGGGUCAGCCCAGUUCAAGGUCGAACUCAGCCAAACUGACCUUCUAGACCCAAGGCUACAGAAAGCCAUAGUUAAGAUUGUGGACAUUAACUAUGGGGGAGAAAAUGGAUUCCAUCAAGCAGUGACUCUGUCUGCUGAUGUGCUGGGAAACAUCAAGUUCAUCCGAGAGAAAAAUCUUCUAGACAAAUACUUUGAGGAAAUUUCCCAGGACACGGGCAAGUACUGUUUUGGUGUGGAAGAUUCAAUGGCGGCCUUGGAGGCUGGAGCCGUAGAGACGUUGAUCGUGUGGGAGAAUUUAGACAUCAUUCGUUACACCUUAUUCAACCAGAGAGCUGAAAGUAACACAGUCCUGUUUCUAGGACCAGAACAACAAAAAGACAAGACUUUCUUCAUUGACAAAGAGACUGGCGUAGAAAUGGAGAUCAUUGAUGAGAUAUCAUUGGUUGAAUGGCUUGUCAACAAUUUCAAGUCUUUUGGUUCCUGUUUAGAGAUUGUGACAGACAAAACACCAGAGGGGGCACAGUUUGUGAGAGGCUUUGGUGGAUUAGGAGGAUUGUUGAGAUACAAGAUGGAGUUCCUAAACCAUGAUGAUGACCUCUCUGACCUUGACCUUAAGGACUUGGAUUUAGAUGACUAUUAAAUUGAAUAUUAGUUACUCUAAGAAUAAUGAACAGUACUUGUAAAAUUUGUUGUUACACAAAUGUCUUAAUUCUGGAAUUAUUACUGGGAACCUAACAUUCCUGAAAUUGUCUCAAAAAUAAAAGAAUGUCAU
rnacentral:misc_RNA from 1 species